AUAUUAUGAAAUGCACGUCGUGUUUCGGGAAAAUUGGCAAAUUGCUGUUUACAUGAAAAUUUUUUACGAUGGUGGAGGUGAUACAUCCUACAUAUGUGAAUGAAGAGCGGAACUUUAAAGCGGACGAAGUGGGAGGUAGUACGGUGGUAGCCGAGGGUGUCGUAGGUGGCAUAAGGGGCCCAGGCGGCGGGUGCCGCGCAUCCUCGAUGACGAUGGCCGAGAGCGCCGUGGAGGACGCCGCAGCCGCGCCCCCGGGUCCGGCCAAGCCACCACCGCCCUCCUGCACCAACAACAACACCCUCGCGGCGACGGCCAACCGCAACCAUCGGAACCCGCGCAAGAAACGGAGACGGCUGGAACAGGUCGUGGAUACACUGCAGGCUCACCGGAGCUCGCCGUCCGAGGGCGAGGUGCUGCGAUUCGAGGGCAGCGGGCCUGUGUCGGAGGAGGAGGACGUAUUCGGCUCGCCCAGAUCGUCGUCCUCGCGAUCCGCCGCGGACGCCACUCCGGUCAUCGGUCAGUUGCCGUUGAGGCUGAAGGACGCGGAGUCGGUGACGUCGACCGAGGAGGAACCCCACGAGGCCGGUCAGCAGCAUCACCAUCAUCCCCACCAUCGAUCGUAUCGCUCGUACUCGUAUCACCAUCAUCAUCAUCACCGGCACCGUUACUCGCCCUACCAGAACAACCAUCGGCUGUCGACGCCCAAGUAUCCCGACUGCAUGUGCAGCCAGUGCUCGCAGUCGCUGGCCGCGUCGGCGGCGGCGGCGGCGGCGAUAAUGUUGCCGACAGCGACGGCGACGUCACUCCAGACGCCGCUCUCGCGAUCCAGCUUCGCGUCCUACAGCAGCAUAUGCGGCACGUACAGCAUAUUCGAGCAGUAUAUGCACAACAAGUACCUGACGCCUUCGUCGUCGUCGGGCGACACCUUCCGCGGACGCAGUCACUCUGACUCGGACGUGGUGCCUAGAUGGGACGACACGAGGGUAACCGUCUCUACCACCUGCUCUUCGUCGUCCUCCGUCGUCAGUCAUCCACCGCGAAGCGGUUCCCUCGAGAGCGACGGGACGAGUCCCCAGGAGUCGCCGUUGGAUCUCUCCAUGAAGAACCUCACGUUGCAAUCCGCCGCAGCCGCUGCGACGGUGGCGGCGGCCUCCGCCAUGUCUCCGGCUCUUCAGCUUCUACCGUCCGGUGUCGUGACGCGGGGUGCUGUAAACGUGCCCGUAGUGAGGGGCGACGUCGCGUCACCCACCACCAAGGAGAGCGUCGCGGAAAGGUACAAGCUGACGGUUCUGCCCGUCGUGGAGGAAAUGGCACCGGGCGCGGAUGUGGCUUACGUGUGUCCCGAGUGCGGGCAAAUGUUCAGUCUACACGAUCGUCUGGCGAAACACAUGGCGUCCAGGCAUCGUCGGCAGGGUCUCCACGAUGCCUCGGCAAAGGCGUACCUAUGCGACGUGUGUCAGAGGAGCUUCGCCAGAUCUGACAUGCUGACCAGGCAUAUGAGAUUGCACACCGGCGUCAAGCCGUACACGUGCCGGGUCUGUCGGCAAGUCUUCAGCAGAUCCGAUCACCUCAGCACCCACCAGCGAACUCAUACCGGCGAGAAGCCGUACAAGUGUCCGCAGUGCGCGUACGCGGCCUGUCGCAGGGACAUGAUCACCAGGCACCUCAAGACCCACAAUCGGUGCGUGGACGGUCCGGUUCCGAAGACGGAGCCGGGUCUGCUCGGUACCGAGGAGUGUCCCACCUUCGGUCAGAACGUGACGGCGGCGCCGUCGGCGGUUAUCAAGGCCGAAUGACGACGGCCAGUCGGAUGACCCUGGUUGCACUCUGGCAGCAGAUGCCAGCGAGGACAUCGCAGCAGGAUCGAUCGAGGAUCCCCAGGGACGAUCUUCGCGGUUCGAUCGGGGCUUCGUCGAAACGCUUCGAAGGAACGAGGUCGCCGUUCGAUGAACGUUGCGACAUCAGCCGAACGUUAGAAAGAGAUUGAUCAGGUUGCGGUCUUUUGGUGAAACGGAUCGAUGGGAGGGAGGAUUUGCUUUGCUGUCGAAACUCGGGGUCCCGACAGACGCUAAUCAGAGUCUGUGAUUAAAAUUAUGGAACGGCUAUUUUGGAAGGAAUUGCAGCUAAGACGCGUCAAUUUCACUCUUUCGCGUUGAAACUUAAUUUGCAGCAGCAAAAUUUACGUAUUGAUAAACUUAAGAAUUAAUUAUACGCGAAAAUAAGAUUUCACGAUAUCGAAAGAUACAGCGAUCGUGUGUACGUAACAUUGACAGUUUACAGCUGUUUUGCUGUCAAAAAAAAGAAGAAAAUUAUUCCAAUAUUCUGCGAUCUUUUCUCGUAUUUCCACGUUUGAAAAUCUCCCUUUACAUGUCUUUUCUCGGCGAAAGAGUUAAAUUCACGUGUCGAGAAAGCAUCAUGAAGAGCUGAGUGAUGGAUAGAAACACUUCGCUCUCCCAUAUCUAUUUCCAUCAUUUGGAAAAUUUCUUGAAAGUCGAUCUUACAGCUUCCAAGAUUUCUUUGCUUGCAUUGAUCACUGCGUCAAUGGUUGUUCUCGAAUGUUUUUUGACCGUCAUCGUUACAAAAACGUGUAUCAAGCCGAGUAUUCUCUUUAUACAUCUUCCGCUCUCUCGUUCUCGAUGCGUAAAGUUAAGUAAUAGAAGUCGAAAAUGUAAAGCAUUCCUGCUCGGCCGUGCAAGUGCAGCGCGGAGAUACAUGAAAGCGGUGCUUAAAAGCUUGGCGUCAGAGUCGAAUCGUGUUUUUCUUUUUUUUCUUUUUUUUUUGUUUAUCGUAUUCGUUAAACGACCACGUGUCCAAAUAAUAUCGUAUGUACAUAAUCCAUCAUUCUUUUCGCGCGUUAUUUCUUCACAAAGGAUUCUCCUGAUCUUUAGCGUUGACUGUGAAGAAAAUUUACAUUUACAUGACGCGAAAUACACGUGCCAAAUUCUUCGAAAACGGACAUUUCGAAUACGCGAUUAACACGCAUGUCAACCCCGUUAAAACUGCACAUCGAGAUCUAAUGGAGUCCAUGAUUUUGACAUCGUUGAUAUCGUUAUUUCCUAUUCUUUAUAUACAUAUAUAUAUAUAUAUUUUUUAGCUGAAAGAUAUAUUGAAAUGCAAAUUGUUGUGUGUAUAAUUUUUAACAUGGCUAAUAAAUGGUAUUAUAAAUAAAUCAUAUCGAGGAUAUAUGACAAGAAGUCUAGACAGGAUUCAUUAGACUCCAGUGAGCAGUUCUAGAAUUACAUCGUGUAAAACAUAUCCGUCGGUCGAUCCGAGCUCGCGAUUUUUGCGGAGAAAAAUUAUUGGUGACGAGAUGAAACGAAAGUAAUCUCGCCAAUAAUCCCGACGCAAGACGAGACAUCGAUCAUUCAGGACCAAGUCUACAAACCGAUCAAGGGAUCAUUUCUCUCGUCGAGUUUAUUUAUCACCAAUAAUUUUCUCAACGUGUCUAUGAAUAGCGAGUCGCCAUUGGUUGCCUCGUCGAUUCGCCCGAAACCUGCUCAAGUUGUUGUUACUUGAAAAAUUGUUAAGAUGACUUUCUAGAUAGAGAAAACCGAAACUCGCGAAAAACCGUGAUGUAUUAAUAGUUAUAAAUGUGUAAUCAUCCCUUUGCGGUGGACAUUUCGUUAAAGGCGUUGAUCGAUUGCAAGGAUGAUAAUGUAAAAAAAAAAGAAAGAAACUGUAUCUGUACCUGCAGGGAAGGAAGGAGAGGAGAAAACUCGAUGUUAAAGCAUAAUAAAGCGUAUAGAAGUAACGUUAAUUAGUAAGUAAAUACUAUUGACAUUAUUAUUGCGUUCUAUUAUUGUAACUGUUGUAAUUAUUCGCGCCGCCGCACGCCUUGUAAAGGAGAUAAAAAAUAUUUUUUCACACGCGAAGCGUGUGUGAUUUCGCAAGAGGUUUCGGUCAUCAACUUGAAAAGCUUGGAAAUUAUUCUUACCUCGAAAUUAAUGCUAAUCAGUUACGUCGAACGUCAUCGGGGUCAUCAAGUUGAGAUUGACGAUCACCGAUUUGUUAUCGAGGGACGAGCACUUGAAAUUGAUACACGUUUCUCUCUUCGAGUUUUUUAUUGAAAAUCAAGUGUGCAUGCGUUGCGGCGCGAUUAAUCGGAACCUGGUUGUGGUGCUUAAGCGAAGAACAGGGCGAAUCGGACAAGGUAUCUUUGCGCUGUGAAUCGACGAAGACAAUCUCAAUAUGAUCUCCGCGAAUAAGGUCGCCGGGUCGAGUGAACGGCAAAUUGAACACGCUAAUGUCGUUCCAAUAGAAUCAUAGAGCACGGAAAAUGUCACUUCUCUUCCUUCCCCGAGGAGAGAUGAAGAUGAAAGAGGAGGCUAAAAGUGAUUUGAUUAUAUGAUUAACACUGUUGAAACUAUAAUAUUUAUAUAUUGAUACAAAAAAAUCACACGAGAAGAAGUAUUCCGUCUCUCUGAAUCUGUAACUCAUCGUUAUUAUCCGUUUGUUCGGCCCCGCGAACAAGUUCGUCUCUCGUCUCGGAAACGUCAAUUCCACAUAGUUUUACGAAAAUAGUCAAUAUGGUGACUCGCUGACAGGAGCAGCGCACGCCGACGUAAUGCUCGAGCUUAUUCAGUUUCGAGGAGCCGCGCGCGUUUCGUUCUUAAUUCUCACCCUGUAUACAUAUACGUAUGUACGACUCCGUGUACUUCCCCCGAUGUGUCUCUUAUUCUCCUCCUCCUCGCCGGCAAAUAGAUAAAGUAUCAGCGCGCCCUGAUACGCAACAAUUGCGCGUGCAUAAGUACGUAUAUCUGUAUUUUUGUAUAUCGAGGUUUUUUCUAAUUAUCUACCUAAUACCGAUUAAGCGUUUCCAGAGGAAUGGGACGAGUAAGUAGCUAUUAAGGAGAAGGUAUUGUCGCUCUCUGCUUGCCAUUUUACUUGCCCUCUUGAUCGAACGAUUGCUUGGAAAAAGCGAUUUAUAUCGUGUGGUGCGAUGUGCGAGGGAGGAUUGUCGAAUCGGAGAAUAAUUGUUUCGUUCUUUAAUCGAUAAUACUCCAAGUUUCGAGUAGUAGAAAAGCGACCGUGUUAACAAUAUUUUCUAAUUGUUAGUGCUUUCUUGAACGGUGAGUCAAUCAAUUGUAAGAGCGUGAUUAAUAUGUGGCAUCUAAUGACACUAAUUAAUUAUUGUUGUGAUGAUGAAUUAAUUGCUUAAACAAUUAUUAAUUUUCUAAAUUGAUUUUUUAAAUGUGUUAAAUUGAGGUAAAUUAUGUUUGUUUCCCAGAUUGAAAAUUAAAAAUCUUUGCAAUGCAUUUUCUGUUUCGUUAUCUCGUUCUUUAUUUUUUGGAAGUUUGUUUCACGCAACUGGAGAAUAAUUCAAUCCGAUGCUCGCUCGGAUAAUUAAUACUCAUAGAUUAACGAGUGGAUUCGCUCAUUUGUAUUACAUUGAAAAAUGAAUUGCUCAAUAUUUUUCAGUAGAAAGUUCUUAUAUUUGCGCAUUCAAGUCAUGCGAUUAAUUCAAGUGCCAUCCAGUCUUCGAUGUAUCGCACACAAACUCUCGUCCUUUUUCGUUUUAUUUUCUCUCAUUAUUUUUUCGGCGAUUAUCGAAGCAAAAACAUUGUUGAUCUCUGACUUGACGUUAUCCCUCGCACCGAUUCAGCCUUAAAUUGA